AGCAUUGUCAUGAUGACUAUAGUAUUAAGGUUAUAAAGUAUCCAGCUGGACUAUGCCUUACUUGUAAAAGAAAUCUGUACCUGGUUAAAGCUGGAAGACCUCUUUCAACAUCAGUUAAACUGAAAUGGAGCAAAGAAUCUUUAAGCGAUUUCUACUGCAGUAGGAGCUGCAAACUUCAACUUCAUACCUGUAAAUAUUCUCUGGCAUCAGACCUCAAACUCAUCAAUAUUUUGUUGGGAAUUUCGACUCACGGUGGAAAAUACAGUUGUCCCUGGUGUGACGAGAAGCUGUUCUGAAAUCUGGUAAUCUCAGAAGUUUUGGAGACCUAGAUAACUGUUUCCGUCAGUAUGCUGAUGCAGGCUUUCCUGAGAAACAAAUGAUGAAUUUUAACAAUGUUGUGAAGCCUUGUCUUAUAAAGGUAGAUGAUCCCAAGAAG